GUGGGCAAUCUGCUGCGGGCAGAUAUAGUGGAUAUGAGUGUCGAUGCCGCCGGCGGUGGCGAUCAGGUGUGCGCCGUUGUGCACUUCGGUGGCCGCGCCGAUGAUCAUAUCGGGGGUAACACCGUCCAUGGUGUCGGGGUUGCCCGCUUGGCCGAUGCCGACGAUGCGGCCGUCGCGGAUGCCGAUGUCGGCUUUCACGAUGCCCCAAUGGUCGAUGAUGACCACGUUGGUAAUCACGAAAUCCAGCACGUUUUCAUCGCUGCGGCAGGCAUCGGCCGACUGCGCCAUGCCGUCGCGCAC
rnacentral:sRNA from 1 species